GAUGAACGCUGGCGGCGUGCCUAAUACAUGCAAGUCGAGCGAACAGACGAGGAGCUUGCUCCUUCGACGUUAGCGGCGGACGGGUGAGUAACACGUAGGUAACCUACCUAUAAGACUGGGAUAACUUCGGGAAACCGGAGCUAAUACCGGAUAAUAUUUCGAACCGCAUGGUUCGAUAGUGAAAGAUGGCUUUGCUAUCACUUAUAGAUGGACCUGCGCCGUAUUAGCUAGUUGGUAAGGUAACGGCUUACCAAGGCAACGAUACGUAGCCGACCUGAGAGGGUGAUCGGCCACACUGGAACUGAGACACGGUCCAGACUCCGACGGGAGGCAGCAGUAGGGAAUCUUCCGCAAUGGGCGAAAGCCUGACGGAGCAACGCCGCGUGAGUGAUGAAGGUCUUCGGAUCGUAAAACUCUGUUAUUAGGGAAGAACAAACGUGUAAGUAACUGUGCACGUCUUGACGGUACCUAAUCAGAAAGCCACGGCGAACUACGU
rnacentral:rRNA from 1 species